GCGAGCACAAAUCAACUUUGCCUCUGCUGCCGGCUUUCUAUUUCACAGAUCAACUUUGUCUUUGCCGCUGCCUUUUCUUAAACUAAAAUUGUUGUGUAGGAGGGAGGUCUACCCAUUCAUGAAUUCGAAAGAGUGUUAAUUUUAAUAUUUAAAUCUCUAACACAAAUCUAAUAUUGUAAGAAAUCUUUUGUUUAAAAAUUAAAAAAAAUAAAUUAUAUAAGAGUAAGAAGGGAGAGCUAUAUAUAUACAUAUAAUACACACAUACACAAUACUAUUAAAAUUGACAAUUAUAUAGAGAGAGAAAAGAGUUGAGAGUGAUGGGGUGGAGAGGGAUUUUGGGUUUUGAGUAUGGAGUAGUUCAGGCACCACUGGGACCUGAUAUUUCAGCUCCAGAGCUUGUAGCUGCUGUUGCUAACGCUGGUGGACUAGGUCUACUCAGAGCCCCUGACUGGGAAUCACCAGAUCAUUUGAGGGAUCUGAUACGGAAAACCCAGGCCUUAACGGACAAACCAUUUGGAGUUGGUGUUGUUUUGGCAUUUCCCCAUGAGGAAAAUGUAAAGGCUAUACUGGAUGAAAAGGUCUCUGUAUUGCAGCUUUAUUGGGGAGAAUGUCCAAAGGAACUUGUCCUCAAAGCUCAUCAAGCAGGGGUCAAGGUUGUUCCUCAAGUUGGGAGCUUUGAAGAAGCAAGAAAAGCUGUUGACGUGGGUGUAGAUGCAAUAAUCGUCCAAGGACUGGAAGCAGGAGGACAUGUAAUUGGUCAGGAUGGAUUAAUUACACUGUUGCCCAGAGUGGUAGAUCUUGUUGCUGGUCGAGAUAUACCCAUAAUUGCUGCUGGGGGCAUUGUGGAUGAGCGUGGUUAUGUUGCUGCUUUGGCCCUUGGUGCCCAGGGUGUCUGCCUAGGCACUAGGUUUCUCGCUACCAAUGAAAGCUAUGCUCACCCAACAUACAAGCAGAAGUUAAUUGAACUUGACAAGACUGAGUACACAAAUUUAUAUGGCCGUGCAAGGUGGCCUGAUGCACCACAACGUGCCCUGACUACACCUUUCUUCAUGGAAUGGAGAAGUCUUCCAAUUCAUGAAAAUGAAACUGAUCAGCCGGUCAUUGGCCAUUCAAACAUACAUGGGAUGGAAAAAGAUAUCCGUCGUUUUGCUGGUACUGUACCAAAUGUGACAACAACAGGUGACAUUGAGAGUAUGGCAAUGUAUGCAGGUCAAGGUGUAUGCCUCAUCAAGGAAAUUCUACCCGCGGCUGAAGUGGUAAAGAGGCUUGUUGAAGGGGCUCAACUGCUAAUUCGCCAACAAUUUAAGUAAUCAAAUUUAAGGGAGAGCCAGUUCUAAGGUAUCUCUUGGAUUGUGGUAGGUUUGUAGUUACGGUCGAAGAUGUUGGAAGAUAAUCACAAAGUUAUACCAUGUUAAAGAGAUGGAAGGAUAUGGAAUGCUUUACUGGAGUUCUUUGUCCUUGUAAGCUUCUCGUUCUCCUCUCUUAUCAUGGCAAUAUCAAGUUGUUUUGCUAUUCAGAAAUUUGUGUAACGCGUCCUUAACCUUGUUUUGUGAGGGAUCACUUGUCAAAUGAUGAAUAAAGGAAAUGCUUCCAACUGGAAUUACCAAGAAAAAAUGUAUGUAAUUACCAGAAAAUAAUGAAUAAAAGGGACUACUGUUAGGUAUGUUUUAGAGCAAGAUAAGGCAUCCUUUAUUCGGUUGAUUGGUGUGAGUGUUCUUCAAAGUGCUGCAUCGUCUUUCAUUGCACCGUCUUUAAGGUACUCGUCAGUUUUAGACUUAGACUUGAUCGUGCUGAGCAGAGACUACUACUCACUCUUCCGACGAUGUAGGACUUCUUUCUAUAGUUUCAUUUCAGAUGUUUUUUUAAGUAUUUAUACUUCAGUUUGGAUUUUAGUAUUAGGGGUCCAUGAAUGGAUUCCCGAGUUGUUUAACUAUUGGAGGUUUUGGAAUUUUAAGUAUUUAAUUUUAAGGAUUCUCUUUUAGAUU